rnacentral:rRNA from 1 species
GAUGAACGCUGGCGGCGUGCCUAAUACAUGCAAGUCGAGCGAACAGAUAAGGAGCUUGCUCCUUUGACGUUAGCGGCGGACGGGUGAGUAACACGUGGGUAACCUACCUAUAAGACUGGGAUAACUUCGGGAAACCGGAGCUAAUACCGGAUAACAUUUGGAACCGCAUGGUUCUAAAGUGAAAGAUGGUUUUGCUAUCACUUAUAGAUGGACCCGCGCCGUAUUAGCUAGUUGGUAAGGUAACGGCUUACCAAGGCGACGAUACGUAGCCGACCUGAGAGGGUGAUCGGCAACACUGGAAAUAAGACACGGUCCAGAAGCCUAAGGGAGGCAGCCGUAGGGAAUCUUCAGCCAUGGGCGAAAGCUUGACGGAGCAACGCAGCGUGAGUGACGAAGGGUUUCGGCUCGUGAAACUCUGUUAUUAGAGAAGAACAAAUGUGUGAGUAACUGUGAACGUCUUGACGGUACCUAAUCAGAAAGCCACGGCUAACUACGUG